ensembl:snoRNA
AGCGUUCGUGUGUGUUUUCAACUUACAGACAAGUUCAAGAAAUCUGCUUUUGCCAGUCAAAACUGAUUGUUCAGUAUGAGUUUUGUUACGUACAAGAAGGAAUAUU